rnacentral:rRNA from 1 species
UACGAAGGGUGCAAACGUUGCUCGGAAUCACUGGGCAUAAAGGGCUCGUAGGCGGCCAACUAAGUCAGACGUGAAAUCCCUCGGCUUAACCGGGGGACUGCGUCUGAUACUGGAUGGCUUGAAUCCGGGAGAGGGAUGCGGAAUUCCAGGUGUAGCGGUGAAAUGCGUAGAUAUCUGGAGGAACACCGGUGGCGAAGGCGGCAUCCUGGACCGGCAUUGACGCUGAGGAGCGAAAGCCAGGGGAGCAAACGGG